UAGCAUCGACCCCUCAGACUCUUCUGUGAGUGGAGCUGAAUAUACCGAAGACUGCCAAAGUAUAUCCACACAGGCGUCAAAAUGCCUAAUGCCAGAUGCAAAGGCAGACUCACCAACUGACACAGAGGAGACAGAGCUAGAUUCCAACGUAGAAAGUUCAAGCAGCUCACUGGAUAAAGUUAAAGACACAGACACAGCAAUGUUAAAGUCCUUACUAAAAAAUAUAUUCAGUAUUUUCUUCAAAUACAAUCAGUCUGAAAAAA
rnacentral:lncRNA from 1 species